UAUUCUGGUGUCUUAGGCGUAGAGGAACCACACCAAUCCAUCCCGAAUUUGGUGGUUAAACUCUAUUGCAGUGAAGAUACUGUAGGGGAAGUCCUGCGGAAAAAUAGCUCGGUGCCAGGAU
rnacentral:rRNA from 4 species